rnacentral:rRNA from 1 species
ACACGCAUGACACACUGCAUAUCAAAAGCGGAGGAAAAGAAGCUAACAAGGAUUCCCCUAGUAACGGCGAGUGAAGCGGGAAGAGCUCAAAUUUGAAAUCUUAAAGGGUUUCCCUUUACGAAUUGUAGUUUAAAGAAGUGUUUUCUGUAGUGGAGUUCGGUAAAAGUUCUUUGGAAUAGGACAUCAUAGAGGGUGAGAAUCCCGUAUUUGACCGUUACUUUCCUAGCUGUGUGAUACACUUUCAAAGAGUCGGAUUGUUUGGGAAUGCAGUCCAAAAUGGGUGGUAAAUUUCAUCUAAAGCUAAAUAUUGGCGAGAGACCGAUAGCGAACAAGUACCGUGAGGGAAAGAUGAAAAGAACUUUGAAAGGAGAGUUAAACAGUACGUGAAAUUGUCAAAAGGGAAGCGUUUGACACCAGUGUUGUUUAGUUGAAAAUCAAUUCAAUAAUUUUUGAUUUUAAGUAGUAUUGACUUCAUCAGCUUGCUGCUUUCUUUUCAGGAAUUAUUGAAUGCACUUUUCAGUUAACAAGUCAACAUCAAUUUCUUUUGUUGUAAAAGGGUAAGAGGAAGGUGGCUUACGCUUCGGCGUAAGUGUUUAUAGCCUUUUACCUCUGCAAUCGGAGAGAUUGAGGACAGCAGCGUAGACUCCUUCGGGGGUUAGAUACACUUGUGCUAAGCUAUAGCCUUGUAUAGACAACUUGUUGACUAUGCUCAGUCAUGUAGCUUACUCGCUUGUGCUAUUUUACCUACGCUUAGGAUGUUGAGCGCAUGUCUCUCUCU